GACGAACGCUGGCGGCGUGCUUAACACAUGCAAGUCGAACGGAAAGGCCCUGCUUUUGUGGGGUGCUCGAGUGGCGAACGGGUGAGUAACACAUGAGUAACCUGCCCUUGACUUUGGGAUAACUUCAGGAAACUGGGGCUAAUACCGGAUAGGAGCUCCUGCUGCAUGGUGGGGGUUGGAAAGUUUCGGCGGUUGGGGAUGGACUCGCGGCUUAUCAGCUUGUUGGUGGGGUAGUGGCUUACCAAGGCUUUGACGGGUAGCCGGCCUGAGAGGGUGACCGGCCACAUGGGGACUGAGAUACGGCCCAGACUCCUACGGGAGGCAGCAGUGGGGAAUAUUGCACAAUGGGCGGAAGCCUGAUGCAGCAACGCCGCGUGCGGGAUGACGGCCUGCGGGUUGUAAACCGCUUUCGCCUGUGACGAAGCGGGAGUGACGGUAAUGGGUAAAGAAGCACCGGCUAACUACGUG
rnacentral:rRNA from 1 species